GGGGGAUAACGUUCGGAAACGGACGCUAAUACCGCAUACGUCCUACGGGAGAAAGCAGGGGACCUUCGGGCCUUGCGCUAUCAGAUGAGCCUAGGUCGGAUUAGCUAGUUGGUGAGGUAAUGGCUCACCAAGGCGACGAUCCGUAACUGGUCUGAGAGGAUGAUCAGUCACACUGGAACUGAGACACGGUCCAGACUCCUACGGGAGGCAGCAGUGGGGAAUAUUGGACAAUGGGCGAAAGCCUGAUCCAGCCAUGCCGCGUGUGUGAAGAAGGUCUUCGGAUUGUAAAGCACUUUAAGUUGGGAGGAAGGGUUGUAGAUUAAUACUCUGCAAUUUUGACGUUACCGACAGAAUAAGCACCGGCUAACUCUGUGCCAGCAGCCGCGGUAAUACAGAGGGUGCAAGCGUUAAUCGGAAUUACUGGGCGUAAAGCGCGCGUAGGUGGUUUGUUAAGUUGGAUGUGAAAUCCCCGGGCUCAACCUGGGAACUGCAUUCAAAACUGACUGACUAGAGUAUGGUAGAGGGUGGUGGAAUUUCCUGUGUAGCGGUGAAAUGCGUAGAUAUAGGAAGGAACACCAGUGGCGAAGGCGACCACCUGGACUAAUACUGACACUGAGGUGCGAAAGCGUGGGGAGCAAACAGGAUUAGAUACCCUGGUAGUCCACGCCGUAAACGAUGUCAACUAGCCGUUGGAAGCCUUGAGCUUUUAGUGGCGCAGCUAACGCAUUAAGUUGACCGCCUGGGGAGUACGGCCGCAAGGUUAAAACUCAAAUGAAUUGACGGGGGCCCGCACAAGCGGUGGAGCA
rnacentral:rRNA from 1 species